AGCGAACGCUGGCGGCAGGCCUAACACAUGCAAGUCGAACGAACUCUUCGGAGUUAGUGGCGGACGGGUGGGUAACACGUGGGAACGCGCCUUUUGGUUCGGCAUAACACAGGGAAACUUGUGCUAAUACCGAAUGUGCCCUUCGGGGGAAAGAUUUAUCGCCAUUAGAGCGGCCCGCGUCUGAUUAGCUGGUUGGUGAGGUAACGGCUCCCCAAGGCGACGAGCAGUAGCUGGGCUGAGAGGAUGGCCAGCCGCACUGGGACUGAGACCCGGCCCAGACUCCUACGGGAGGCAGCAGUGGGGAAUCUAGCGCAAUGGGCGAAAGCCUGACGCAGCCAUGCCGCGUGAAUGAUGAAGGUCUUAGGAUUGUAAAAUUCUUUCACCGGGGACGAUAAUGACGGUACCCGGAGAAGAAGCCCCGGCUAACUUCGUG
rnacentral:rRNA from 1 species